rnacentral:lncRNA from 1 species
AUGGUUGGGUCAUGAAAGUUUCAUGAAUUUAUUCCCUCAAUUGUAUGCAAAAUCGUUGCAACCUGAUGCUCCUAUAGUUGCUUUCGGUUCUUGGAGUGAUGAUAAUUGGACUUGGAGUUUUGAUUGGGCUGUGGAGCUAGCGCAGGAUGAUAUGGAUGCUGCAACUGAGAUGUCGAUUAUGUUAGCAGAUAUUAGGCCUAAGAAGGAAUGCUUGG